CGUGGUCAACUCACUGGGAAGGAGGGAUUGGAGUGGUGAGCAGAUUCGGCGACAUACCUAGUGGAAGACAGAAGGGGACAAAGAGGAUGUUUCUUCAAGUCUCAGUGUCCCACUACACUCCUCCAUUAUUCAGAAAGCAAAUGCUUUCUGAAAUAUGCCCAGAGAACCUGACCCAGUAAGAUGGGAAGAAAUUCUUCCAGAGCCCAGGGACCACAACAGUCUUCACUAUUUGGAGCAAUAUCUCUCUCAUCCCCGCCUUCGUGACCCCCAAGCACCUAGAGGUGGCACGUGAAUGAAUGAGCUCAUGGACAUGCCAGUGAGGAGAGGCUGGAGUCCAGAGUCAGCGCUGGUUUUAGUCUGCCAAACGCUGCUCUGUGGAGCUGGUGAGAGGAGCAGGACUCCACAGCUGGAUUCCCUGGAAUGCCUUUUCCUCAAGCUAGAGAGAAAGUCGUUGUGGAAGGGAUUCUUCUCCCGCAGAGGGACUGGAUGUGAUUUCAGACACUCCCUGUGCUCUAACAUCCCUGGAAUGGCUGAAGAUUCCGGGUGACUUGCUCAGAAGCAUCUGAAAUUGGACGGGAUUGAGGGAAAUGUUCGCUGCAUCUGCAUCUUCAGCAUCUGGGAAAUGCCUGGGGCACAGGUGUGUUUCACAAAUAAUCAAUGAAGU